AGAACAGAGUCUCAGUGAAGAUCAUGUUUCCCCAGCAACACAGGUGCCAGGAGUAGCUGGCUCUGGUCCCAGCCCAGACUCAGAAAUCCUGAGCCACCAGACCAUUUCUAGAUUAACAAAGGCCUGCAUUAAUUUGAUUUCAGUGACCCACUGGAAACCAGUGUCAGCAUAACAACAGUUACGAGAGCUAAACCUACAAAAUAG
rnacentral:lncRNA from 1 species